rnacentral:rRNA from 1 species
AUUGAACGCUGGCGGCAGGCCUAACACAUGCAAGUCGAGCGGAUGAAGAGAGCUUGCUCUCUGAUUUAGCGGCGGACGGGUGAGUAAUGCCUAGGAAUCUGCCUGGUAGUGGGGGAUAACGUUCCGAAAGGAACGCUAAUACCGCGUACGUCCUACGGGAGAAAGCAGGGGACCUUCGGGCCUUGCGCUAUCAGAUGAGCCUAGGUCGGCUUAGCUAGUUGGUGAGGUAAUGGCUCACCAAGGCGACGAUCCGUAACUGGUCUGAGCGGAUGAUCAGUCACACGGGAACUGAGACACGGUCCAGACUCCUACGGGAGGCGGCAGUGGGGAAUAUUGGACAAUGGGCGAAAGCCUGAUCCAGCCAUGCCGCGUGUGUGAAGAAGGUCUUCGGAUUGUAAAGCACUUUAAGUUGGGAGGAAGGGCAGUAAGUUAAUACCUUGCUGUUUUGACGUUACCGACAGAAUAAGCACCGGCUAACUUCGUGCCAGCAGCCGCCGUAAAAC